GCCAUGCAUGUCUAAGUUCAUACCUAGUAAAAGUGAGACUGCGAAAGGCUCAGUAUAUCAGUUAUAGUUUAUUCGAUUGUGAAAUCCACAUGGAUAACCGUGGAAAAUCUAGAGCUAAUACAUGCGAAAAAAUGAUAUAUUGAGCAAUUGAUAUAUUAUGCAUUUAUUAGAUUAGAACCAAUCGGAAGACGCAAGUUUUCCGUAGUGGUGAGUCUGAAUAACUUUGCCGAUCGUAUGGCCUAGAGCCGGCGACGUUUCGAUUAAAUUUCUGCCCUAUCAAUUUGUUGGUAAGGUAUUGGCUUACCAAGAUUAUUACGGGUAACGGGGAAUCAGGGUUCGAUUCCGGAGAGGGAGCCUGAGAAACGGCUACCACAUCCAAGGAAGGCAGCAGGCGCGCAAAUUAUCCAAUCCAAAAACUGGGAGAUGGUAACGAGAAAUACCAGGUUGUUUUCUAAAGAAUUCAACACUGGAAUGAAUGUAACUUAAAAAAUUCAAUGAGUAGCAACUGGAGGGCAAGUCUGGUGCCAGCAGCCGCGGUAAUUCCAGCUCCAGUAGUGUAUUCUAAAGUUGCUGCGGUUAAAACGCUCGUAGUUGGACAAUAGAGUAAUUUAGUGCCGGCGGGAGAGGUUAUAUGUAUUGAUUAGUAAUGAAUAUGAGCUUUGCGAGUAUUUGUUAUUGGUUAGUAUAUUACUUUGUCGACCGUGUAGCUAAGUUACUUGGAAUAUUUUGUGAGAAUAAUAUAUGACCUUAAUUGUGUCGUAUAUUGUAUCUUGCAUAGCGUGCCUUGAAUAAAUCAGAGUGCUCAAAGCAAGCUUACGCUUGAAUGUUAAUAGCAUGGAACGAAUGUUUUGUGAAAGUAUAUGUAGUUUAUCUUGAUAAAUUAUGUAUACAGCACCAACCACGAAGCAGAACAUUGGUAGCUGUCUUCGGGUGAUGAUUAAGAGGGGCAUUUGGGGGCAUUAGUAUUUGAACGCGAGAGGUGAAAUUCUUGGACCGUUCAAGGACUAACAAGUGCGAAAGCAUUUGCCAAGGAUGUUCCCUUUAAUCAAGAACGAAAGUGAGAGGAUCGAAGACGAUCAGAUACCGUCCUAGUUCUCACCGUAAACUAUGCCAACCCGGGAUCAGCUCGGAUGAACUUWUUUGGAUCCAGGUUGGUCCCCCUGGGAAACCUUGAGUUUUUAGGUUCCGGGGGGAGUAUGGUUGCAAGGCUGAAACUUAAAGGAAUUGACGGAAGGGCACCACCAGGGGUGGAGCCUGCGGCUUAAUUUGACUCAACACGGGAAAACUCACCUGGUCCGGACAUCGAUAGGAUUGACAGACUAAUAGAUCUUUCAUGAUACGAUGGUUGGUGGUGCAUGGCCGUUCUUAGUUCGUGGAGUGAUCUGUCAGGUUGAUUCCGGUAACGAACGAGACCACGAUCUCCAUUUGGGUAGUUAUAAAACCAAUUUGAUUGAUUAUGUAGGUUUCAAUUUGCAUGAUUAAACUUAUUGAGCUUUAUGAUAUAUGUGCAGCAAUGUGCAUACCUAUGGAGAGACAGCCGGUUUUUAAGACGGAGGAAGCGUGGCAAUAACAGGUCUGUGAUGCCCUUCGAUGUUCAGGGCUGCACGCGCGCUACAAUGAUAACGACAGCGAGUGUCUGGACUGAAAAGUUCUGGGAAAUCUUGUAAAUCGUUAUCGUGAUGGGGAUUGAGCAUUGUAAUUAUUGCUCAUGAAAUAGGAAUCCCUUGUAACUGCAACUCAUUCAGGUUGCGAUGAAUGCGUCCCUGCCCUUUGUACACACCGCCCGUCGCUACUACCGAGUGAAUGGUGUCAUGAUGUAUUAGGACUGGAUGUGUUGGCAAUUUUAUUGCGAAUACACUAGGAGUAAGACAAAAUGGCCCUAUU
rnacentral:rRNA from 1 species